UACGUAGGGUGCAAGCGUUGUCCGGAUUUAUUGGGUUUAAAGGGUGCGUAGGCGGUUCUGUAAGUCAGUGGUGAAAUACUCUAGCUUAACUAGAGGGGUGCCAAUGAUACUGCAGAACUUGAGUACAGAUGAGGUAGGCGGAAUUGACGGUGUAGCGGUGAAAUGCAUAGAUAUCGUCAAGAACACCGAUAGCGAAGGCAGCUUACUGGGCUGUAACUGACGCUGAUGCACGAAAAGUGUGGGGGAUCAAACAG
rnacentral:rRNA from 1 species